GUCUAUGGCCAUAUCACCUUGAACACAUCCUAUCUUGUGUGAUCUCAGAAGCUAAGCAGGGUCAGGCCUGGUUAGUUCUGGCAUGUUAGACAUAUGGAUAUGUAGCUGGGCAAACCAGGUUUAGAUAUACACA
rnacentral:rRNA from 1 species